rnacentral:rRNA from 1 species
UACGGGGGUGCGAGCGUUGUCCGGAAUCACUGGCGUAAAGGGCGCGUAGGUGGCGUGAUAAGGGUGUGGUGAAAGCCCGGGGUUCAACCCCGGGUCGGCCAUGCCGACUGUCAGGCUAGAGUGCUGUAGGGGCAGGCGGAAUUCCGGGUGUAGCGGUGGAAUGCGUAGAUAUCAGGAGGAACACCUGUGGUGUAGACGGCUUUCUGGACCAUAGCUGACGCUGAGACACGAAAGCGUGGGUAGCAAACAGG